rnacentral:rRNA from 1 species
UUACGGCCAUAUCACGUUGAUUGAAACUCCGGUUCCCGUUCGACCACCGAAGUUAAGCAACGCCGAUCCUGGUCAGUACCUAGAUGGGUGACCGCUUGGGAAUACCAGAUGCUGUAAG